GCCCAUGACUAAAUCACCCGAAACGCAUCCUGAUCUUGUCCGAUCUCGGAAGGCACACAGGGUUGAGCCCGGAGAGUGCUUGGAUGGGCGACCACAUUGCAUAACAGGUGUCAUGUGCU
rnacentral:rRNA from 1 species